rnacentral:rRNA from 1 species
AUUGAACGCUGGCGGCAUGCCUAACACAUGCAAGUCGAACGGUAACAGGAAGAUUCUUCCUCUUUUGCGUGAGAGACGGGGGCGUGAGGGAAAUGUCUGUAACAUGGCCUGAUGGAUGGGGAAACCUACGGGAAACGGAGACUAAACCCGCAUAAAGGCGGAAGGCCAGGGACCGAGAGCGUCGGGCCUAUUGGCAUCGGCUGUGCCCAGGUGGCAAGUCGGAUUAGCUAGGGGGUGAGGUAACGGCUUACCAAGGCGACGAUGAGUAGCAGAGCUGAGAGGAUGAUCGGCCACACUGGAACUGAGACACGGUCCAGACUCCUACGGGAGGCAGCAGUGGGGAAUAUUGCACAAUGGGCGCAAGCCUGAUGCAGCCAUGCCGCGUGUGUGAAGAAGGCCUUCGGGUUGUAAAGCACUUUUAUCGGGGAGGAACGAAUGAGUGUUAAUACCUGCGCGCCUUGACGGUACCCGAAGAAGAAGCACCGGCUAACUACGUG